GCAUUACCAGAGGCUGAAUGAAGAGAGGUUCAAGGAGGAGACCGAUUACCUGGAUAGUUCAUUCAUCCGGAUUACCUAAACCUCGUCCAACUGCACGAAAAACCUCCGGCGCAGGAUCAAGAGAACGAAACAGAAUCUCUGUGGCUUCAGGGUCGAGAAAUGCAAUCUUCACCCGUUGCAGAAGAUAUUAAAGAAGAUGAUUAUCUCUCGAUGAAGUCUUCCUAAUCUUUGGUUCUCCUUUCACCAAAGAUUAGAAGGGUCAACGGUCCUAAUAACUGCAUUUUGAGUCAUUUGAAUUUCUCAAAUUCAACGCAACAGUCUUUAUCCAAUAUCAGAGAUAAUAAAUAAAUAACUGAAGAAUUAAACCUGAAGUGAUCUUUUGUCAAUCACUGUUCGAUAUAUUUUUUAAUAUGUGUGGUAAAAGAAAUAAAUUAAAAUAGAAAAACGCGGCCUACAAUUCCCUUGUGAUGACACUGAAUAAUAUUACACGGUUUAUAAAAUACCUUGAGCGAUUUAUCAUGUUGCAUAAAAAAAACACUGACAAGUCUAUA